GACGAACCGUGCGAACGUUAUUCGGAAUCACUGGGCUUAAAGGGCGCGUAGGCGGGUCCGUCAGUCAGGGGUGAAAUCCCACGGCCCAACCGUGGAAGUGCCUCUGAUACUGCGGGCCUCGAGGGGGAUAGGGGCGUGCGGAACUCAGGGUGGAGCGGUGAAAUGCGUAGAUAUCCUGAGGAACACCGGUGGCGAAAGCGGCGCGCUGGAUCCCUUCUGACGCUGAGGCGCGAAAGCCAGGGGAGCAAACGGG
rnacentral:rRNA from 1 species